UACGAAGGGGGCUAGCGUUGCUCGGAAUGACUGGGCGUAAAGGGCGCGUAGGCGGAGUGCUUUGUCGGGCGUGAAAUUCCAGGGCUCAACCUUGGGGCUGCGUUCGAGACGGGCAUUCUAGAGUGGAGAAGAGGGUCGUGGAAUUCCUAGUGUAGAGGUGAAAUUCGUAGAUAUUGGGAAGAACACCCGUGGCGAAGGCGGCUCUCUGGGACGGUACUGACGCUGAGACGCGAAAGCGUGGGGA
rnacentral:rRNA from 1 species